UCGCCCGUCAAGUCAGGGAAGUUGGGAGUGCCCGAAGCACAUCCUCGCGAUGUUCCAAGGCAAACUCAAUGACAAAGACUAAGUCGUAACAAGGCACGGCUAGCGGAAGCUGGUCGUGG
rnacentral:ncRNA from 1 species